rnacentral:rRNA from 1 species
GAUGAACGCUGGCGGCGUGCCUAAUACAUGCAAGUCGAGCGAACAGACGAGGAGCUUGCUCCUCUGACGUUAGCGGCGGACGGGUGAGUAACACGUGGAUAACCUACCUAUAAGACUGGGAUAACUUCGGGAAACCGGAGCUAAUACCGGAUAAUAUAUUGAACCGCAUGGUUCAAUAGUGAAAGACGGUUUUGCUGUCACUUAUAGAUGGAUCCGCGCCGUAUUAGCUAGUUGGUAAGGUAACGGCUUACCAAGGCAACGAUGCGUAGCCGACCUGAGAGGGUGAUCGGCCACACUGGAACUGAGACACGGUCCAGACUCCUACGGGAGGCAGCAGUAGGGAAUCUUCCGCAAUGGGCGAAAGCUUGACGGAGCAACGCCGCGUGAGUGAUGAAGGUCUUCGGAUCGUAAAACGCUGUUAUUAGGGAAGAACAAAUGUGUAAGUAACUAUGCACGUCUUGACGGUACCUAAGCAGAAAGCCACGGCUAACUACGU